AACCCUUGUCCUUAGUUACCAGCACGUUAUGGUGGCACUCUAAGGAGACUGCCGGUGACAACCGGAGGAAGGUGGGGAUGACGUCAAGUCAUCACUGGCCCUUACGGCCUGGGCUACACACGUGCUACAAUGGUCGGUACAAAGGGUUGCCAAGCCGCGAGGUGGAGCUAAUCCCAUAAAACCGAUCGUAGUCCGGAUCGCAGUCUGCAACUCGACUGCGUGAAGUCGGAAUCGCUAGUAAUCGUGAAUCAGAAUGUCACGGUGAAUACGUUCCCGGGCCUU
rnacentral:rRNA from 1 species